rnacentral:rRNA from 1 species
UAGGGAAUCUUCGGCAAUGGACGAAAGUCUGACCGAGCAACGCCGCGUGAGUGAAGAAGGUUUUCGGAUCGUAAAACUCUGUUGUUAGAGAAGAACAAGGACGUUAGUAACUGAACGUCCCCUGACGGUAUCUAACCAGAAAGCCACGGCGAACUACGUGCCAGCAGCCGCGGUAAUACGUAGGUGGCAAGCGUUGUCCGGAUUUAUUGGGCGUAAAGCGAGCGCAGGCGGUUUCUUAAGUCUGAUGUGAAAGCCCCCGGCUCAACCGGGGAGGGUCAUUGGAAACUGGGAGACUUGAGUGCAGAAGAGGAGAGUGGAAUUCCAUGUGUAGCGGUGAAAUGCGUAGAUAUAUGGAGGAACACCAGUGGCGAAGGCGGCUCUCUGGUCUGUAACUGACGCUGAGGCUCGAAAGCGUGGGGAGCAAACAGG